rnacentral:rRNA from 1 species
CCUACGGGAGGCAGCAGUGGGGAAUAUUGGGCAAUGGGCGCAAGCCUGACCCAGCAACGCCGCGUGAAGGAAGAAGGCUUUCGGGUUUGAAACUUCUUUUAUCAGGGACGAAGCAAGUGACGGUACCUGAUGAAUACGUCACGGCUAACUACGUGCCAGCAGCCGCGGUAAUACGUAGGUUGCAAUCGUUAUCCGGAUUUACUGGGUGGAAAGGGCGUGUAGGCGGGAUGUCAAGUCAGAUGUGAAAACUAUGGGCUCAACCCAUAGCCUGCAUUUGAAACUGUACUUCUUGAGUGCUGGGGAGGCAAGCGGAAUUCCGUGUGUAGCGGUGAAAUGCGUAGAUAUAAGGAAGAACACCAGUUGCGAAGGCAGAUUGCUGGACAGGAACUGACGCUGAGGCGCGAAAGCGUGGGGAGCAAACAGGAUUAGAUACCCGGGUAGUC